rnacentral:rRNA from 1 species
UACGUAGGGUGCAAGCGUUGUCCGGAAUUAUUGGGCGUAAAGAGCUCGUAGGCGGUCUGUUGCGUCGGCUGUGAAAACCCGGGGCUCAACUCUGGGCCUGCAGCCGAUACGGGCAGACUAGAGUUCGGCAGGGGAGACUGGAAUUCCCGGUGUAGCGGUGAAAUUCGUAGAUAUUGGGAAGAACACCGGUGGCGAAGGCGGCCAUCUGGCCCGUUAUUGACGCUGAGGCGCGAAAGCGUGGGGAGCAAACAGGG